CUGGAGACCUACAGCAAUCUGAUGUUUUUGGGACAGUCCAUUGCCAAACCUGCAGUGAUCUUCAAGUUGGAGCAAGGAGGAGAUCCAUGGACAUUAGAAGAACUUCCCAGCUUGAGCCUCCCAGGAGAGAAGCCCUAUGAAUGUGAACAAUGUA